UACGGGGGGGGCAAGCGUUGUUCGGAAUUACUGGGCGUAAAGGGCUCGUAGGUGGCCAACUAAGUCAGACGUGAAAUCCCUCAGCUUAACUGGGGAACUGCGUCUGAUACUGGAUGGCUUGAGUUUGGGAGAGGGAUGCGGAAUUCCAGGUGUAGCGGUGGAAUGCGCAGAUAUCAGGAGGAACACCGGUGGCGAAGGCGGCGAUCUGGGCCAGUACUGACGCUGAGGAGCGAAAGCGUGGGGAGCGAACAGG
rnacentral:rRNA from 1 species